AGACAGCAGUAGCCGCGGUAAUACGUAGGGUGCAAGCGUUAAUCGGAAUUACUGGGCGUAAAGCGUGCGCAGGCGGUUUGUUAAGACAGAUGUGAAAUCCCCGGGCUCAACCUGGGAACUGCAUUUGUGACUGGCAAGCUAGAGUGUGGCAGAGGGGGGUGGAAUUCCGCGUGUAGCAGUGAAAUGCGUAGAUAUGCGGAGGAACACCGAUGGCGAAGGCAGCCCCCUGGGCCAACACUGACGCUCAUGCACGAAAGCGUGGGGAGCAAACAGGAUUAGAUACCCGCGUAGUCCCUGUCUCUUAUAC
rnacentral:rRNA from 1 species